UACGAAGGGGGGCUAGCGUUGCUCGGAAUCACUGGGCGUAAAGCGCACGUAGGCGGAUUGCUAAGUCAGGGGUGAAAUCCUGGAGCUCAACUCCAGAACUGCCUUUGAUACUGGCGACCUUGAGUCCGGGAGAGGUGAGUGGAACUGCGAGUGUAGAGGUGAAAUUCGUAGAUAUUCGCAAGAACACCAGUGGCGAAGGCGGCUCACUGGUCCGGUACUGGACGCUGAGGUGCGAAAGCGUGGGGAGCAAACAGG
rnacentral:rRNA from 1 species